rnacentral:lncRNA from 1 species
CCAUAUGUUUUAAUACUAUUUCAAUUUGGUCCAUAUUGUUGCGCAGUGUUUGGGAGGUUUGGGUAAUUACUCUUUCGAUCCUCCUCCUGUUGCGUGCAUUUUAAUUUGGUCCCCUUUUUAUUUCCUUCUUUAAAUUUGGCUUCAAAACUUUGUUUAUGUUUGAUUUAAUCCUAUCUAUUGUUUUAGUUUUAUAUUAUUAAUUCUGC